rnacentral:rRNA from 1 species
AGCGAACGCUGGCGGCAGGCUUAACACAUGCAAGUCGAACGCCCGUAGCAAUACGGGAGUGGCAGACGGGUGAGUAACGCGUGGGAACAUGCCCUUUGGUUCGGAGUAACUCAGGGAAACUUGAGCUAAUACCGGAUAAGCCCGAGAGGGGAAAGAUUUAGUCGCCGAAGGAUUGGCCCGCGUCCGAUUAGCUAGUUGGUGAGGUAAUGGCUCACCAAGGCGACGAUCGGUAGCUGGUCUGAGAGGAUGAUCAGCCACACUGGGACUGAGACACGGCCCAGACUCCUACGGGAGGCAGCAGUGGGGAAUAUUGGACAAUGGGGGCAACCCUGAUCCAGCCACGCCGCGUGAGUGAUGAAGGCCCUAGGGUUGUAAAGCUCUUUCGGCGGGGACGAUAAUGACGGUACCCGCAGAAGAAGCCCCGGCUAACUUCGUGCCAGCCGCCGCGGUAA